rnacentral:rRNA from 1 species
CAGCCGCCACGGGAAUACGUAGGUGGCAAGCGUUGUCCGGAAUGAUUGGGCGUAAAGGGCGCGCAGGCGGCUGUGUAAGUCUGUCUAGAAAGUGCGGGGCUAAACCCCGUGAGAGGAUGGAAACUGGACAGCUGAGAGUGUCGGGGAGGAAAGCGGAAUUCCUAGUGUAGCGGUGAAAUGCGUAGAUAUUAGGAGGAACACCGGUGGCGAAAGCGGCUUUCUGGACGACAACUGACGCUGAGGCGCGAAAGCCAGGGGAGCAAACGGGAUUAGAUACCCGCGUAGUCCCUGUCUCUUAUAC